rnacentral:lncRNA from 1 species
GCCAAGUGAAAGUCAAGGGCUCCUGUGGCCCUGCUCCUCAACCCAGGGUCUCUUAAGCAGGUGUUGGUGGUGGGAGGUCCCGAUGUGGGCAGGCAGCAGAGACUUCUGCCUCCCUCCGCCAAAACACCCUUCCACCUGCCCCCUUGUCUGUAGAGAUGAAAUGAAAGUUGUCCUACCCGAUAGAGCCUCCUUGGAGUGGCCCUCUCCUGAGUGGCUUCCUCGUCCCCAUCCCAUCAGAUGACAGGCAGCAAUGAGUAUGCCCACAGCUGAGACCCCAUUUCCCAGGCAGGCCCAGGGUUUGGCCUGCACACCAGGUGUGCGGCCCUGGGCCUGUCCGUCCCCAUGUUCAGCCCAGCCAGAGCGGCUGAGCACGGCCCUUGUCUUUGGCUGUGGUGUCCAACUGAGUGCAUUCUGGAGGCCCUGGGGGACUUGCUGGAAAGCUGUUCAAGGCUGUGGGAACUGAGAUUCAGGAAGGGAAGUGGCAUCAGGUGGAGUGGGUGCUAAGAUCAUGGGGAGAGGAGGAGGAGGAGCAGGUGAGUUUGGCCCGCAUUCUCCAAGCCCAGGCCUGGCUUCAGCUCCUGUGAGUGGUGUGACCUUUGCCCAGUUGCUCCGUAUCUCUGUACCUGCUAUCCCUGAUCUCUCCCUGGGGACCGUAAUUGCUCCUGCCUUCGUGUUGUAAAGACUGGGCAGGAUCAUGCGUGUAGAG